rnacentral:lncRNA from 1 species
UCACUAAGAGUGGCACAUCUUAUGUAUGCUCAUCUGAUGUUGACUGCAAAAAUUUAUAUGUAACUGUUCUAAUGUGCGUUGUUUCUACAUGUUCCAUUAGUGAAUAUCAGGCAGCAUGCGGCAGAUGUUGCGCUUCUACUACUUACUGCCAAAAAUAAAAUGCAUGUGAAAAUUGUACCUUGUUAUCUGUUCGUUUACUAAUCCAAGAUGUGCAAUUUUCUUUUUGAAUAAAUCUUUUACUCUCCUUUUCAUUUUUUCUUGACCAUCCAAAAUUUUCCCUCAAUACAAGUUGAUGAGUUUUAGCUGGCUGCCACAGGUUUGGCAUAGAAGAAGCUUUCAGCCAUCAGGGCUCUAUGCAGCUCGGAUCGAUAUGCAGGGCUUCAGCCCAGUAUGAGUUUGCUGAAUUUAUGGAGCUUUUGCAUUUGUUUUUUGAGUCGUACUGUUAGUGAUGCACUUGCUUACCACAAUGCAGGGACUGCAUGCUAUUUUCACUGGAGAAGAUGAUACUUGGGAAGCCUGGCUAAAUGCUGAUGCGUCUGGUUUCUCUAGUGCUAUGGGAUUUGGGGGGAAUGGCGUUAAGUUAAGGCGUGGAUAUGCUACUCCUCAGUCAUCGAAACCAACACAGGCACUCAUUUACACACUAUCAAGUUUACUACUGUUGGUUCUCUUUGUUCUGAUAUCAAGUUUACCGAUGUUGGUUUCCUUUGUUACUGAUGAUCUUAUGGUGCUCAGUCUCAUUGCAUCUUCUCUUUUUUAAGUGGCCACGGUGGGGGAGGAGUAGCUUGAAAGACUUAAAUUGUUUGAUACAAAUGCUAUAAAAGGAAGAGAGAAAAUGUCCUUGCUUCCCCCUCCAGUUAAAACUGGAAAAUAAAAAAGAAAGUAAAAAAAAAAAGGUUCAAGUGAAAUAGCUAGUAUUUGGGAAAAUUUGGGUUGGGACUGCAUGCAUGUAGACUUGAUCACUUGGUUCAUAAAAUGUUAUAUUCCAUCUAUGCUGGAAAUUCAAAUGAGUGUCGUGAAGCUUGUAGCAGCUUUCUGAUUGCAAAAAGCUGCUGGCUUGGAAAUUGCAGAAGCUAAGUUAGUAGGAGGAGGUAAGUCAUGCUAAUAUCCUCCUUUGUGGGUCUUCUUGUUUUUAUCUGUCGAUUGUGAGAAAAUGAUAAAACAGAGCUUGUAUUGAAUUAAUUAUGAAAGCCAUACAGAAGGGCUCCUUGCAUAGGAGUUUACACUUUAGGACUAAGAAAAGUUUAUAAUGUUGUAAAUUAUGUAACAGAGAAAUUAAUUAAAUAAGGCAUACUUAAUUUGAGAUUUCUACUUAUGAUAGGAGUAAGAAAAUUUAUAAUAUUGUAAUUAUGUAAAAGAGAAGGUAAUUAAAUAAAGAAUAUUUGAAUACUGAGAGUUCUACUUAUGAUAGGGUUGACAAGAAUGUUAGAUAUUAUUAACCUGAACACAUGAAACAAAUCUAGAACAUUUUAACAUAUACAUCACCAUUUCGUUUUAUGUGACCCUUGUUUGAUUGAGUAUGGAGUUUAAGAAAGAAAAGAACUUAAACAUGCCAUAACAUUUGUGUUGCUAUAAGACUUCUGAACCUUGUGGUUUUAAAUAUAACAUUACAUUUGUUUGGCUAUAAUGCUUGUCAUUAAGGGUAAAAGGGGAAGUGUAAGUUAAAUUGUUUCCAAAGUUAGAGUGGUCAUUCUUUUUGGAAGAGAGUAAUAGACUGAAGAGCAAAUAGUGUUACAUAAACUGGAAUGGAGGGAGUAGUUGAUUCGAUUUCUUGACUUCUAAUACUCCCUCUAAAACUUGAGAUAAUUAAACAACUUGAGUUUGCGAAUCAAAACUAAAAAGUGGAGUCGAGUAUGACAAGAGGAGCUACUGUUUGAAGAUGUGGCACUUGUGAUUAGACAAUGAUAUGACGAUUGAUUGGAUAGUUGCGUGGCCAUCGUUGAAUUGUGUGAUCAGUGCAUCUGAAAGUUUUAGCUAUUAGAGAGAAUUUUAAUUGAUUUAUUUUAUGUCUAUACUGCCCCAUCGUAUGGUGCGCGAUUCUUUUUAUUGGGCCAAGCACUUGAGAAUAUUUUCUUUUUCUGUUUAUGGUUGACACUCUCUCCAAUAGCUUAAGUUUUUAGAUGAGUUGAUCACAUAAUUCAAUGUGGUACCAACAAAAUAGAGGUUCCUGAAUUCAGUUCUUAUUUGUCCCCAUUGACAAAAUAUUACGAGCUGCUUGGCCCAAUAGAAAGAAUAGGGUCAGAUGUAAGUGGGUGUGUUAUAGACGUAAAGUAAGUAAUAGAAGUGUCCUUUUAAGAACAAUUAAAUGGAUAGUGACAUGGCGCUGAAUGGCUUAUGUGUCUAAGGUGACACUGACUAGACAAUGGUGUGUUGUUGAACGGCAGCACUAUGCUGACUAAAACGGAUUAAUCAACUUAACAGGUUAACGGGUUCAGACAACUAACUUGUCUUGACAGGUUAGCUGUUGGGUGUUACUUGAUAGGUUAGCUGAAAUUGAUGGAUAAAUCAACCCUAGACAUAUUUGCAAUUCGCUGCCAUAAAUUUAGGACGGCGUAGUGGCUAGAGAACACCAGAACAGUGAUGGGGAUGCUAGAGUCAUCAUUGGUAAGAAGAGUAGUGUCACUCAAAUGGUCAUACAAAUUAGGUGAGACUACUAAAUUUGUGGAGCGAUUGUGAGUUUUUUAGCAGGGUAGGCAGAACAGCUUAAGUCUCUCUCAGAAUUGUAGAGGCCCUGAUAUAUUUUAAAGUAUAAGAGAAUAAAAGAGAGUACUUUCAUAGAGUUGAUUGUUAACAACAUACACGAGGCUUUUUAUACAGAAGCUUAGGCUAUUAAAGAUGAGGAUUUUUUUUUCAAAUAUCGGGGUACCUAAUUAUCACGAUAGUUGUUUUGAUGGGGGAAAAAGAUCCUAUUACUACUUAUAUGAAAUACAGAUGUAUUUAUAACUUUAGUAUUUUGGCUGAAUGAAUUUUUGGUAAUUUUCAUAACAGAUACCCUGGACUUGUUGGGCUCCCUUAUUUUGUUUAAACAAGUUCAGAUUUUUGUGAUGUUUUUGGUAUCUUCUUGGUACUGUUAUUGCAUACAAAAUUACAAAUACUUCACCUUAUCAAAUAAAAGAUACAUCACAAUUCAGGAGAACAUCCUAUAGUAUUAACCUAUAUGCAUAGAGUGAUUCUAGAACCAACAUAUACUUAUAGGCUACAACAUUCUCUUGACUUUCAUUGGCUUGUACUACUAAAUUAGUUGCUAAGAUGUUUUUAAGGAAGGAAUAAUUAUUUGCUGGUUCAAGUGAGGAGUUAGAGAAAGGUUGACAAGCUUUAAAGAAAUUAUACACAUACAUGAACAAUAAUCCGGUCAGUCGUGUGUUUACGUCUGUGUUUAGCUUUUGGAUAGUGAGGAUUUAUGUGGCAUGCCACAACUAGCUUGGGAUUGAGAUUAUUUUUGUAUAUUACUUUUGGAUCGAUUAUCCUUCACUAUGACAUGCAUAUGCUAAAGUUUUAUUAUCUCGAAAAGAGAUUUGCUUUUCCUUUUAGUAGGUAUCUUUCAUGUGUUCUUCAGUGGUAUCCUUGAUAAGAAGUUGUUUAUGAGCCUUUUGUGCUAAGAUCAUUUAGAGUGCACACUGACUUUGGUGCACAGGGGGGAUAUUUAGGAUUUAAUCUAUUUUCUCUUGUUCCUCACUGCUGAAAUUGCACUCAUGCAUCUGUUUCUUUUAGGACGAAUUACGUCAACAAAAGGAGGAAGAAAUGGAUGAUUACUGCUCACAGGUAGUCCAAAUGCUUCCUGUUCACUAUACAAGUGUAUGUGUUGUGAUUAUAUAACUCAUCAAGCAAAUGGCAUAUAAACUAGGGAAUACCUGUCUUGACCUUAAAAUAUUAACCUAUCAUGUAGGCUUGUAUUAGUUGUUCUUGAUUGAGAAAGUAGAUAUGAAAGGCAUCAAAAGUACUAAGUUAAUGGUACUUGGUACUUUGAAAAUUGGUAAGAUUCUUAUGGUUUGGCAGGUUUUGCCCCUCUAAACUAAAUUGCGACCAGUCACUUCGGUUUGCAGGAUCAAGAAAAUAACUAAUUUUAAAUGCUAACCUCACUCAGUGAACUGUAAAUACUCCGUUCUAUUAUAUUAGACUAUGCUGUGAGUGCAGUAAAUGAGUCUUCUUUCACUACCUUUUCUUAAAUUAUUACGAAAUAACCAUAAUGUGGCCUUUUAAACUGUAAACUUAUUCGAAAUCAUGUCAGGAAAUACAAUAACAAGUGUAUUAUGUACUUGACCAGCAUAAAUAGACGGUCAGUUUCUUUUGACUCUUGUGUGCAUAUUUUGGGACAUUCUUUUUUAAAUAUAAAAGGAUAACAAAAUCAGGACAUAAGGAGCUAUACUACAUUUAUUUUGUGGAAG